rnacentral:rRNA from 1 species
AUGAUUCUGGCGAUCAAACCUUCUGGAUCGAGCCCUGGGCGACUCCCGCAUCUCGCCGGCGCCGCUGCUGCUCCAACCGUUCGUCACCAUCCCCUCAGGCCUCCCUCGAAGGUGCGAGGUCACCCUCGAGUUUGGCUUCAUGCUCCGCGCCCAGUCCGACCCUCCCCGGAGACUGACGACCACCGGGACGAGCGCCACGACCACCACCCGAAGCCGCGGCACCGUCGACGGCCGAACCCCUUGAGCUCUGAGCUCCGUCCCAGGGGCCCCUGCCCGACCCCGUCACCCAGCGCCGCCUCACGCCACACCGGAGCCGCCGCCCCUCGCCCCGCGACCCGCCGCCCCUCCCUGCCUUCGCCUGCCUCGCCGGAGUCGCCGCCUGAGACGACGACCAUGCCUCUACUUGCUUGCCUGCGGCCUGCGGCGUGGCUCAGAGAGUGGUCCAGUAUGGCCCAUCUUCAUCAACACACGUUCAAGACCCUCGCGAGGGGCCAAGCCUCGCGGGGCGGACGACAAGAGGCUUCCUCGAGCAUAGUCUUGUCAGACUGGCUCGCGAGGAGGCGGAGAGAUCAAGGCGGGGUACCUCAUGAGGCGCCCAUGACGCAAGCCAUGACGACCGAGGCCAGGCGGGCGCCAGGCGGGUGCCGGCCUGCACAGAGUCCUAUUUCCUCUUUGGUGCAAAGGGGGCAAGCGCAGGCAAGAGUAUCAAGUAAAGACAACCAUUUCGGUGCAACAAGACCAAGACCAGCAGGACGGCAGGAUGGAGGUCAUCGUGGAGCCCAAGCCGGCAUCACCGUCAGGGUCUUUGGCAGACGAGGACCGACUUUAGUCAGGAUAAGUGUACUAGAUGUUCCCCUUCAAAAUGGCCAAUUGUUGGCUUCCUUUCUGCUCAAUUUUUGGAAAGAGGCCCAGGGCCUCCAUCUAUAA